AGAGUUUGAUCAUGGCUCAGAUUGAACGCUGGCGGCAUGCCUUACACAUGCAAGUCGAACGGCAGCACGGGAGCUUGCUCCUGGUGGCGAGUGGCGAACGGGUGAGUAAUACAUCGGAACGUACCCCGAAGUGGGGGAUAACGUAGCGAAAGUUACGCUAAUACCGCAUAUUCUGUGAGCAGGAAAGAGGGGGGAUCGCAAGACCUCUUGCUUUAGGAGCGGCCGAUGUCGGAUUAGCUAGUUGGUGAGGUAAAGGCUCACCAAGGCGACGAUCCGUAGCGGGUCUGAGAGGAUGAUCCGCCACACUGGGACUGAGACACGGCCCAGACUCCUACGGGAGGCAGCAGUGGGGAAUUUUGGACAAUGGGCGCAAGCCUGAUCCAGCCAUGCCGCGUGAGUGAAGAAGGCCUUCGGGUUGUAAAGCUCUUUCGGUGGGGAAGAAAUUGCUUCGGUUAAUACCUGGAGUAGAUGACGGUACCCGCAUAAGAAGCACCGGCUAACUACGUG
rnacentral:rRNA from 1 species